UAAGGAUAUUAGUAGAAAAAAAUCCUAAAUUUCAACUCCAAAAGCAGUUUUCAAUAUUGAAGCAAUAGCAGAAAUUUGAACCAAAUCUCAACUUUCUUUCGUAAUCAAAUCACAAAUUCAAAAACAGAGAUGCAAUAAUGACAUCAUAUUAUU